rnacentral:rRNA from 1 species
UACGUAGGCAGCGAGCGUUGUUCGGAGUUACUGGGCGUAAAGGGUGUGUAGGCGGUUGUUUAAGUUUGGUGUGAAAUCUCCCGGCUCAACUGGGAGGGUGCGCCGAAUACUGAAUGACUUGGAGUGCGGGAGAGGUGAGUGGAAUUCCUGGUGUAGCGGUGAAAUGCGUAGAUAUCAGGAGGAACACCGGUGGCGAAGGCGGCAUCCUGGACCGGUAUUGACACUGAGGCGCGAAAGCCAGGGGAGCAAACGGG